rnacentral:SRP_RNA from 1 species
GCCAGGCACAGUGGCGUGUGCCUGUAGUCCCAGCUACUCGGGAGGCUGAAGGCUAGUGGAUGGCUUGAGCCCAGGAGUUCUGGGCUGUAGUGCGCUAUGAUGAUUGGGUGUCCGCACUAAGUUCGGCAUCAAUAUGGUGACCUCCCGGGAGCUGGGGACCACCAGGUUGCCUAAGGAGGGGUGCAACGGCCCAGGUCAGACACAGAGCAGGUCAAAACUCCCGUUCUGAUCAGUAGUGGGAUCGCGCCUGUGAAUAGCCGCUGUACUCCAGCCUGGGCAACAUAGCAAGACCCUGUCUCU